rnacentral:misc_RNA from 1 species
UUUUUUUUUUUUUUUUUUUCUGAGAAGUUCCCAUGAAGUGGGGGAACAAUUGCACUUACUCCAAUAUUGGAGGAAGAAUAAGGUGGUGACACGGGAAAUAGUAUAAAAUAUUUUGUGAAAAUAAUUUAUGAAGAAAAUAGUAUCUUUUCUUGCUUUUCAUUUUCAUUUAUGAUGUUCACAAUAAUGUGGUUCUUUAGUUAUGCUUUGAAUUUCUAGUGGAGCCUGCAACAUUCAUAACUCCUAAGCCAUUAGGGAAUCCUAGCAAAUUCUGCAAUUGUUUUGGCCAAGUAAUCAAAAUGAUACUUGGAUUUGACUUUGGCCAUAUUAGCCUAGUCCUUAUCGGAUUUGAGUUGGUUUUACACCAACUUAGCCUAGGACAAGCACUAUAUUCCUUAUUCCUUUGUUGCAGCAUCAAUUUCUCAGAGUUUUAUGAGCUCCUCUCUUCUUCAUUCAGGUGCGGCAAUUUUGUUCUAAAUUGUUACUACUGUAUUUGUUUUUAAUUUUUAGGGAGGGAGAUGAGUUUUUGGUGUACUUGGGUUCAGGGCUUGAGUGUUAAUUCUCUAUUUGUUAUUGUACCCUUCUGAACUUAUUGGUGGAUUUCAGCUCCCCUUUGCCUGUGGAUGUCGGCUUAUGCCGAACCAUGUAAAUUUAUCUUUCCUAUUUCUUUAUUUUUUAUUGUCCAAUUUAAUCUAGCCGAAACAAAUUCAGAUUAAUCCUAACAGCAGUGGUACUUGUAAUUUUAUACACCCCAAGAUUGUGUCAUGUCUACACUCUACAGAAAGGUUUCUACUGUAUACUGAUUGGACUUUGAGAUCAAACUUAUUCUUUAUUUUGACAUACAUAUUGCAACCAGUGUCACUGGACACCGUUGUGAAUUAUGGUGUAGGUUUUAAAAAUUUGAGGAUAACAUAUGAGCACUUUAAUAUUCAAAGACCACUAAUUACUACCCUUGCCGUUUUGCUCCAGCAUUGUGCAUGCUCUUUUGGAUUGGUUCUAGAGCUCAUUAUAUUUGAAAGCUACUCUUGAAAAGCUUUUUCUGCAUCAUUAGGAUAAUUUUUAUUUAUUGUGUUUUAUUAUUUUCCCCUACCUGUCGUGGCAUCUUAUCACAUAAGCUUACAUGAUGUAAUGUUAAAACACAAUAAGAACAUCUCAUGGAAAGACUGCGCUUGAUUAUUUUGCUUAUCAAUCUAUCCUUGCUAUGAUCUGAGCAGGCAUUCAUAAUUGCUUCAACUGCACCAGAAGAGGAAAUGCUUCGCUGGUACCGGGAACGUAUUUGUGUGGACUGAAAAAUCACUGA